GGGGCUGUAGCUCAGCCAGGUAGAGCGCCUGGCUCAUAACCAGGUGGCCGUCGGUUCAAACCCGGCCAGCCCCA
rnacentral:tRNA from 2 species